rnacentral:lncRNA from 1 species
CUAGGGAGCGGAAGAGCGCUGUCGAAGCCGAGCGCAAGGCGCGGGAGGCUCGCGACAAGGAAGACCAGUACUGGCGUGAAGCCGAGGGCAACAGAUCCAAAGCCACCAAGAAACGAGAGGAAGAAGCGGAGAAGAAGGCUGAGUCCGCCGCGCGCCGCGCUGAGGCUCGUCGGUUGGCAGAGAUGGAGGAGAAGGAGAUCGAGAAAUCCAUGAAGAAGCCCGACAAGAAGGCGAACCGCGUGUCGAUCCCCGUUCCAAAGGUAACCGAGGCGGAGCUGAGGAAGCGCCGGGAGGAGGAGCAAGCCGCCC